UCGAGCGAACUCUGGUAACUGAAUGAAGGUGCUUGCACCUGAGUGAUGAUACAUUUGAGUGAGCGGCGGAUGGGUGAGUAACACGUGGGUAACCUGCCCUAAAGUGGGGGAUAACAUCUGGAAACAGGUGCUAAUACCGCAUAACAACACAUUCCACAUGGAGAGUGUUUGAAAGAUGGUUCUGCUAUCGCUUUAGGAUGGACCCGCGGCGUAUUAGUUAGUUGGUGAGGUAACGGCUCACCAAGACGAUGAUACGUAGCCGACCUGAGAGGGUAAUCGGCCACAUUGGGACUGAGACACGGCCCAAACUCCUACGGGAGGCAGCAGUAGGGAAUCUUCCACAGUGGACGAAAGUCUGAUGGAGCAACGCCGCGUGAGUGAAGAAGGUUUUCGGAUCGUAAAACUCUGUUGUUGAAGAAGAACAUGCGUGAUAGUAACUGAUCAUGUAUUGACGGUAUUCAACCAGAAAGCCACGGCUAACUACGUG
rnacentral:rRNA from 1 species